GAUGAACGCUGGCGGCGUGCCUAAUACAUGCAAGUCGAGCGAACGGAUGAGGAGCUUGCUUUUCUGAUGUUAGCGGCGGACGGGUGAGUAACACGUGGAUAACCUACCUAUAAGACUGGGAUAACUUCGGGAAACCGGAGCUAAUACCGGAUAAUAUUUUGAACCGCAUGGUUCAAAAGUGAAAGACGGUCUUGCUGUCACUUAUAGAUGGAUCCGCGCUGCAUUAGCUAGUUGGUAAGGUAACGGCUUACCAAGGCAACGAUGCAUAGCCGACCUGAGAGGGGGAUCGGCCACACUGGAACUGAGACACGGUCCAGACUCCUACGGGAGGCAGCAGUAGGGAAUCUUCCGCAAUGGGCGAAAGCCUGACGGAGCAACGCCGCGUGAGUGAUGAAGGUCUUCGGAUCGUAAAACUCUGUUAUUAGGGAAGAACAAAUGUGUAAGUAACUGUGCACAUCUUGACGGUACCUAAUCAGAAAGCCACGGCUAACUACGUG
rnacentral:rRNA from 1 species